rnacentral:rRNA from 1 species
AUUGAACGCUGGCGGCAUGCUUUACACAUGCAAGUCGAACGGUAACAGGCCGCAAGGUGCUGACGAGUGGCGAACGGGUGAGUAAUGCAUCGGAACGUGCCCAGUCGUGGGGGAUAACGCAGCGAAAGCUGUGCUAAUACCGCAUACGAUCUAUGGAUGAAAGCGGGGGACCGUAAGGCCUCGCGCGAUUGGAGCGGCCGAUGUCAGAUUAGGUAGUUGGUGGGGUAAAGGCCUACCAAGCCAACGAUCUGUAGCUGGUCUGAGAGGACGACCAGCCACACUGGGACUGAGACACGGCCCAGACUCCUACGGGAGGCAGCAGUGGGGAAUUUUGGACAAUGGGCGCAAGCCUGAUCCAGCAAUGCCGCGUGCAGGAAGAAGGCCUUCGGGUUGUAAACUGCUUUUGUACGGAACGAAACGGUCUGGGUUAAUACCCUGGACUAAUGACGGUACCGUAAGAAUAAGCACCGGCUAACUACGUGCCAGCCGCCGCUGUAACAC